rnacentral:rRNA from 1 species
AAGCAUUAUACCGUGAAACUGCGAAUGGCUCAUUAAAUCAGUUAUCGUUUAUUUGAUAGUACCUUACUACUUGGAUAACCGUGGUAAUUCUAGAGCUAAUACAUGCUGAAAACCCCAACUUCGGGAGGGGUGUAUUUAUUAGAUAAAAAACCAACGCCCUUCGGGGCUUCUUGGUGAUUCAUGAUAACUUUACGGAUCGCAUGGCCUUGCGCCGGCGACGGUUCAUUCAAAUUUCUGCCCUAUCAACUUUCGAUGGUAAGGUAUUGGCUUACCAUGGUUUCAACGGGUAACGGGGAAUUAGGGUUCGAUUCCGGAGAGGGAGCCUGAGAAACGGCUACCACAUCCAAGGAAGGCAGCAGGCGCGCAAAUUACCCAAUCCCGACACGGGGAGGUAGUGACAAUAAAUACUGAUACAGGGCUCUUUUGGGUCUUGUAAUUGGAAUGAGUACAAUUUAAACCUCUUAACGAGGAACAAUUGGAGGGCAAGUCUGGUGCCAGCAGCCGCGGUAAUUCCAGCUCCAAUAGCGUAUAUUAAAGUUGUUGCAGUUAAAAAGCUCGUAGUUGAACCUUGGGUCUGGCUGGCAGGUCCGCCUCACCGCGUGUACUUGUCCGGCCGGGCCUUCCUUCUGGAGAACCUCAUGCCCUUCACUGGGCGUGUUGGGGACCAGGACUUUUACUUUGAAAAAAUUAGAGUGUUCAAAGCAGGCCUUUGCUCGAAUACGUUAGCAUGGAAUAAUAGAAUAGGACGUGCGGUCCUAUUUUGUUGGUUUCUAGGACCGCCGUAAUGAUUAAUAGGGACAGUCGGGGGCAUCAGUAUUCAAUUGUCAGAGGUGAAAUUCUUGGAUUUAUUGAAGACUAACUACUGCGAAAGCAUUUGCCAAGGAUGUUUUCAUUAAUCAGUGAACGAAAGUUAGGGGAUCGAAGACGAUCAGAUACCGUCGUAGUCUUAACCGUAAACUAUGCCGACUAGGGAUCGGGCGAUGUUCUUUUUCUGACUCGCUCGGCACCUUACGAGAAAUCAAAGUUUUGGGU